rnacentral:rRNA from 1 species
UACGUAGGGUGCGAGCGUUAAUCGGAAUUACUGGGCGUAAAGCGUGCGCAGGCGGUUUUGUAAGCCAGAUGUGAAAUCCCCGGGCUUAACCUGGGAAUGGCAUUUGGGACUGCAAGGCUGGAGUGUGGCAGAGGGGGAUGGAAUUCCGCGUGUAGCAGUGAAAUGCGUAGAUAUGCGGAGGAACACCGAUGGCGAAGGCAAUCCCCUGGGCCUGCACUGACGCUCAUGCACGAAAGCGUGGGGAGCAAACAGG